AUUGAACGCUGGCGGAAUGCUUUACACAUGCAAGUCGAACGGCAGCACGGACUCCGGUCUGGUGGCGAGUGGCGAACGGGUGAGUAAUGUAUCGGAACGUGCCCAGUCGUGGGGGAUAACGUAGUGAAAAUUACGCUAAUACCGCAUACGAUCUAUGGAUGAAAGCGGGGGAUCGCAAGACCUCGCGCGAUUGGAGCGGCCGAUAUCAGAUUAGGUAGUUGGUGGGGUAAAGGCCCACCAAGCCAACGAUCUGUAGCUGGUCUGAGAGGACGACCAGCCACACUGGAACCGAGACACGGUCCAGACUCCUACGGGAGGCAGCAGUGGGGAAUUUUGGACAAUGGGCGAAAGCCUGAUCCAGCCAUUCCGCGUGCAGGAUGAAGGCCCUCGGGUUGUAAACUGCUUUUGUACAGAACGAAAAGGUUUCUACUAAUACUAGGAGCUCAUGACGGUACUGUAAGAAUAAGCACCGGCUAACUACGUGCCAGCAGCCGCCGCGG
rnacentral:rRNA from 1 species